UUUGAAGUGUCAGAGCAAAAGCAACAUCGCCGUUCAGGAAGGCAAACAGAUGCUGAGUCCAAUCAUCAAGCUAGAAUCGGUUUUUCUCAGAGACGUGGCCACUGGUAAACCCGAAGGCCCUCUAUGUCAUCUUCACCUGGGACAGCGGAGCACAGAUCUAUGAACUAGUGGCUCAGACCCUCGGGGAGAAGAAAAAUUGGACAGUGGUGAUUAAAUCAACGGUUGACGAGUUGAAGAAGAGGGGUGGGAAUAAGCUGAAAAGAGAGAGAGGUGGCAGCAUGCCCAUGAGCGUCAGUGGAGCUGCAUACAGCCCUUUGCAUGCCCCUCUUAGCCCAACUGAGAAUGGAGAAAACCUGUUGAAAAGUCACGGUGGCCGAUUUAAAGACAUUCUUACUGAUGAGAAGAGUAGAGAAACGGGUUCUUCACUCAUAGACUACCUAGCGGCCAAUGGUUUUGACCUGCUCAGCCAUAGCCACGCUCCUCCAGAGAAGUCUGCUAUUGGUGCUUUGGAUGAAGUCAUGUGUUUGAAGAGGCUAUUGAUCGGGAGUAUUAGUCUUUCAGAUGACUCUCAGACUCUUGGGGAAAAUGGAGGGACGGCACCUGAAAGCCAGGAGGCAGAUGGAGGUCAGUCGUCAGGAACCGCACACAUAUUGCUUCAGGUUUUUAGCUGACGAGGUUCAACCUCACACUUAAUCAUAGUACAGCAAGUACAGCUAUGCUGAAUACCUGAAUAAGUUCAGCAUGCAGGAAGAAGAAAUGAACUUUUAAAUGUCAUUUAUUCUAAUUCUAAAAGAAAAGAUGGAAGACAAAUUCCUAAUUCUUGCAUUGGGGGUGUUUUUUCUGAUUGAUAUUGAGAUCCCCAAUGCUUUUUUUCCUUCUUAGUGGAGGAAUCCAGCACAGAAGGAAAAACUGAAGGAGAAGAGAGUGGGGGA
ensembl:lncRNA